AUUCCUAAUUAGAUGGGAAGGAAAGUCUUUGAAGAGGAACCUCUACUUUACUUUUUACACUUAGAACACGUUUCCUCCCAUCAUGGCACUUUGAUCUGGCUGAAGAUAUGAGGAUAGAAUACACAAGGUCCAGUGGCUGAAGAAAUUACAGUGCAUUUGUAGAAAUGAUAAUGACUCACAGUGGAUGGAGCACAAGGCUUGGGGAGACAUAUACCCAGAAUGAACAGAGCCAGGAGGUCUUUGCGCAGCCGAUCAGAUCUUCCCAAGCCCUGGAUCAGCACUGAUAG
rnacentral:lncRNA from 1 species